AGACUGCGUUUGAAACUGUAUAUCUUGAGAUCAGCAGAGGAAGGCGGAAUUCCUGGUGUAGUGGUGAAAUACGUAGAUAUCAGGAAGAACACCAGUGGCGAAGGCGGUCUUCUAGGCUGUAUCUGACGCUCAUGUACGAAAGCUGGGGUAGCGAACGGGAUUAGAUACCCCGGUAGUCCCAGCAGUAAACGAUGGACACUAGGUGUUGGUGGUUCGAAUCCGUCAGUGCCGGAGUUAACGCAUUAAGUGUCCCGCCUGGGGAAUACGGUCGCAAGACUGAAACUCAAAGGAAUUGACGGGGGCCCGCACAAGCGGUGGAGCAUGUGGUUUAAUUCGAUGCAACGCGAAGAACCUUACCGAGAAUUGACAUCCCGUGACUAUCUGUGAGAGCAGA
rnacentral:rRNA from 1 species